GACGAACGCUGGCGGCGUGCCUAAUACAUGCAAGUUGAGCGCUGAAGGUUGGUACUUGUACCAACUGGAUGAGCAGCGAACGGGUGAGUAACGCGUGGGGAAUCUGCCUUUGAGCGGGGGACAACAUUUGGAAACGAAUGCUAAUACCGCAUAAAAACUUUAAACACAAGUUUUAAGUUUGAAAGAUGCAAUUGCAUCACUCAAAGAUGAUCCCGCGUUGUAUUAGCUAGUUGGUGAGGUAAAGGCUCACCAAGGCGAUGAUACAUAGCCGACCUGAGAGGGUGAUCGGCCAGAUUGGGACUGAGACACGGCCCAAACGGCUGCGGGAGGCAGCAGUAGGGAUUCUUCGGCAAUGGACGAAAGGCUGACCGAGCAACGCCGCGGGAGUGAAGAAGGGUUUCGGAUCGUAAAACUCUGUUGGUAGAGAAGAACGUUGGUGAGAGUGGAAAGCUCAUCAAGUGACGGUAACUACCCAGAAAGGGACGGCUAACUACGUG
rnacentral:rRNA from 1 species